rnacentral:rRNA from 1 species
AUUGAACGCUGGCGGCAGGCCUAACACAUGCAAGUCGAGCGGAUGAAGGGAGCUUGCUCCUGGAUUCAGCGGCGGACGGGUGAGUAAUGCCUAGGAAUCUGCCUGGUAGUGGGGGAUAACGUCCGGAAACGGGCGCUAAUACCGCAUACGUCCAGAGGGAGAAAGUGGGGGAUCUUCGGACCUCACGCGAUCAGAUGAGCCUAGGUCGGAUUAGCUAGUUGGUGGGGUAAAGGCCUACCAAGGCGACGAUCCGUAACUGGUCUGAGAGGAUGAUCAGUCACACUGGAACUGAGACACGGUCCAGACUCCUACGGGAGGCAGCAGUGGGGAAUAUUGGACAAAGGGCGAAAGCCUGAUCCAGCCAUGCCGCGUGUGUGAAGAAGGUCUUCGGAUUGUAAAGCACUUUAAGUUGGGAGGAAGGGCAGUAAGUUAAUACCUUGCUGUUUUGACGUUACCAACAGAAUAAGCACCGGCUAACUUCGUG